rnacentral:rRNA from 1 species
UACGUAGGGUGCGAGCGUUGUCCGGAAUUAUUGGGCGUAAAGAGCUCGUAGGCGGUCUGUCGCGUCGGUCGUGAAAACUUGGGGCUUAACCCUGAGCUUGCGGUCGAUACGGGCAUGACUGGAGUUCGGCAGGGGGAGACUGGAAUUCCUGGUGUAGCGGUGAAAUGCGCAGAUAUCAGGAGGAACACCGGUGGCGAAAGCGGGUCUCUGGGCCGAUACUGACGCUGAGGAGCGAAAGCGUGGGGAGCGAACCGG